UGUUCUUUAAAUUUCGAGAUAUUAACACUCAAAUCAUUUAAUAAACAAUAACUGGGAUACUAGUACUAAUAGCACUUACAAUACUAAACAACAACUUAAAUAUGGAGGUUUUUGGUUCAAGUGUUGCUUUAGUUUUCUCAAUAUGUUUUUCAUUUUGUAGCGCUGCCAUUUGUUAUUCUGAUAGCCAAUGUCCCUCAGGUUACCAUUGUUGUAGUGGUACUCAAUGGUGUUGUGCUAGUGGUUAUGUUUGUACGGGCACAGCAGCUUGUCUCGGUAUCGGAGUUAUUGUUGGCAUUGUGAUUGGAUGUCUUGUCCUAAUGGCAGUGAUUGCUAUCCUUGUUUAUAAAUUUGUGAUCGCAAAGAGGUCGUAGAAACCUUCACACAGAUACUUCGUGACACAGAGUGCAUAAAUAUUUGUAAACAAAUGAUGUUUUCCAUAUGGUAUCACCAGUUAUCAAACUUACAUUUACCUGAUGUAAUGGACUUUAUACCAACCUUCAUCAUACUCUUUUACAGGAUACUUUCAAAAGACAAGUUCAGAUUAUACAUUUUCGAUAUAAAAAAAUUCACAAACUUGUGUAGAUACAAUUGGAGAUUUUAUCGGUUUUCCCUACGAAUUUACUUUCCUAAUCAGAUCUUCGUAACAUGCCAUAUGACAGCUUUGUGGCAUACUAAUCAAGUGCUCGACUUAGCCUUUUUAACUUUAUUGUGUAUUGUGUAAUGCAGACUUGCUUGAAAACUUAUAUUAAUUAUAGGUAUAAAAAAGUUUUUGAGUGAAUUCUAUACAUUUUUGUUAUCGUCUAAACAAUGUGUGCAUCCAAUAGUAUCUAAACCUCAACGGUUGAGAGUGUUGACAUGUAUUACUUCAAAUGAGCAAAGACUUUGUUCUAUUACUAUUGUUAAAUGAGAUGAUAUAAUAAAUAUACCCUAAUACUGAUGAAUUUACAAAAAAAAUGUCGUCAUGAAA